GUUAUUUCGUCACGUUAAAAACACAACUAACUGAUUAAAAUAUAUAGAACCACCGACCACUAGAAGCUAGUAGAUAUGUAAUCAUUGCCUUCGCAGCCUUUCAAUUCAAAGCAAUUUCAAAGCAGCGAACAAAAGUAAUCCAUAAAUAAUCGAAUUUUGUGUCAAAAUGUUUUACGAGAAUUGAAUGAGACAGAGAGAGAGAGAGAGAG